GUGCUUGCUUCGGCAGCACAUAUACUAAAAUUAGAAAUGAAACAGAGAAGAUUAGCAUGGCCCCUGAGCAAGGAUGACAAGCAAAUUCAUGAAGCGUUCCAUAUUUUU
ensembl:snRNA U6 U6 spliceosomal RNA